AACUUCUGAAUGUUGACCUCGGAUCAGGU
rnacentral:rRNA from 1 species